AUUCCAGCUCCAAUAGCGUAUAUUAAAGUUGUUGUGGUUAAAAAGCUCGUAGUUGGAUCUCGGCGGACUGAGGGCGGUUUGCUUGCUAGUAUUACUGCCCUAUAGUCCGUAGUUUUGCCAGAGGUUUCGGGGUGCUCUUAAUCGAGUGUCCCGGGAUGCUGGCAGGUUUACUUUGAAAAAAUUAGAGUGCUCAAAGCAGGCUAUUACGCCUGAAUAUUCGUGCAUGGAAUAAUAGGAUAGGAAGUCGUUUCUAUUUUGUUGGUUUUCGGAAAUCGACUUAAUGAUUAAUAGGGACAGUCGGGGGCAUUUGUAUUCAAACGACAGAGGUGAAAUUCUUGGACCGUUUGAAGACAAACUACUGCGAAAGCAUUUGCCAAGAAUGUUUUCAUUAAUCAAGAACGAAAGUUAAAGGUUCGAAGGCGAUUAGAUACCGCCCUAGUUUUAACCAUAAACGAUGCCAGCUAGCGAUCUGCGGACGUUUUUUUUGUAGACUCCGCAGGAAGCUUCCGGGAAACCAAAGCAUUUGGGUUCCAGGGGAAGUAUGGUUGCAAAGCUGAAACUUAAAGGAAUUGACGGAAGGGCACCACCAGGAGUGGAGCCUGUGGCUUAAUUUGACUCAACACGGGAAAUCUCACCAGGCCCGGACACUGGAAGGAUUGACAGAUUGAUAGCUCUUUCUUGAUUCGGUGGGUGGUGGUGCAUGGCCGUUCUUAGUUGGUGGAGUGAUUUGUCUGGUUAAUUCCGAUAACGAACGAGACUCUGUCCUGCUAAAUAGUGUCUGCUUCUCUUUUGAGCAGACAAUUCUUCUUAGAGGGACUGGCGACUCUUAGUCGCACGAGAUUGAGCAAUA
rnacentral:rRNA from 1 species